UAGGGAAUCUUCCGCAAUGGACGCAAGUCUGACGGAGCAACGCCGCGUGAGUGAAGAAGGAUUUCGGUUCGUAAAACUCUGUUGUUAGAGAAGAACAGCGCAUAGAGUAACUGUUAUGCGUGUGACGGUAUCUAACCAGAAAGCCACGGCUAACUACGUGCCAGCAGCCGCGGUAAUACGUAGGUGGCAAGCGUUGUCCGGAUUUAUUGGGCGUAAAGCGAGCGCAGGCGGUCAAUUAAGUCUGAUGUGAAAGCCCCCGGCUCAACCGGGGAGGGUCAUUGGAAACUGGUUGACUUGAGUGCAGAAGAGGAGAGUGGAAUUCCAUGUGUAGCGGUGAAAUGCGUAGAUAUAUGGAGGAACACCAGUGGCGAAGGCGACUCUCUGGUCUGUAACUGACGCUGAGGCCCGAAAGCGUGGGUAGCAAACAGG
rnacentral:rRNA from 1 species